AGGUCGCAAACAACCUUGCCUGGUCAUAUUGAUUGUGCCUGUGUGGAUUCGUGUUUACUACCUCAGAUUUGCUUUUGCAGGCGUCAAAUCCUGAUUGUAGCAGGAGUAUUAAGAGUCUAUAUUUGAAGUCUCCAGAAAUAUUUAGAAAGACAGAAGCUUCUUCAGCAGGAAGUGGAUCUUCCUGGGAUAUUCAAGUGUACCUGACUCGGAUCCCUGGAGAAAAGAGCAGCUGAGGAGAAGUGGAAGGCACUGCAGAGGAUAUCACCUACGCACAGCCCUGAGAGGAUGCAGCAGCCUCCAGUGAGAAAUCAGCUGAUUCCGAUGAUCAAAACCAAACUCUUGAGAAGAUACUUGAAGUCACUAUCAGCAAAGAAACUUCA